rnacentral:lncRNA from 10 species
AUUGAAUCUAGAAACUAUGGCUUGGCAUGGUGGAUCACUCCUGUAACCCCAGCGCUUUGGGAGGCCAAGGCAGAUGAUCCCUUGAGGCCAGGAGUUCAAGACCAGCCUGGGCAAGAUAGUGAGACACACUCCCCCCAACACACAUACAAAAUAAAAAAUUUAUCCAGGCAUGGUGGUGUGUGCCUGUAGUCUUCACUACUUGGAAGGCUAAGGCAAGAGGAUUGCUUGAGCCCAAGACUUUGAAUGGCAGUAAGCUAUGAUAGUGCCACUGAAUUCCCACCUGGGUGACAGAACAAGAUCCUUUCUCUAAAAACAAACAAAGAAACAAACUCCCACAUUAACGAGAUCACUAGGUGACUUACAGCCAUGAAACUUUGAGAAAUCCUAGGUGGGACCUGAGAUACUGCAUUUCUAACACCAUUCAGAUAAUGUCCAUGCUGCUGGUCUUGGUCCAAGAGACACAGCUUGCAGCAAGUCUUGAGGGUCAUUUAGUAUCAUUUGCUAGUAGUAAAUAAUGUCAGACUUUGAUGUUUGAAAAAAUCUUUAUGUUUAUCUUGGAGUUAGUGCUUAAUGGGACAUGAUAUUUGAGGUUGAGAGUUUUUAUUUAUUUAUUUCAUUUUAGAGAUAGUCCUCUUCUGAUCUGUUGAGAAAUUUUCUUUCUUUUUUUUUUUUUUUUUUUCAAGAUGGAGUCUUGCUCUGUCACCCAGGCUGGAGUGCAAUGGCAUGAUCUCAGCUUCGCUGCAACCUCUGCCUUCUGGGUCCAAGUGAUUCUCCUGCCUGAGCCUCCCAAGUAGCUGGGAUUACAGGUAUGCAUCAACAUGCCUGGCUAAUUUUUUUAUUUUUAUUAGAGACAGGGUUUCACCAUAUUGGCCAGGCUGGUCUCAAACUCCUUACCUCAAGUGACCCUCCCACCUUGGCCUACCAAAGUGCUGGGAUUACAACUGUGAGCCACUGUACUGGGCUGAGAAAUUUUCUAUUCAUAUGAUUAACCUUCCUUGUGGGUAACCUCUGUUUUUCUCUCUUGAUGUUCUCUUUAUCUUUGAGAUUUUGUUUCCUUACUAAUCAUUUAAUAGUGAAUUUCUUUUUAUUUAUAUUGCUUCAAAUCUACUGUGAUUCUAGAAUCUAAAAUUUGGUCUGUAAACAAUUCUGAAAUGUUCUUAUUUAUUUUCUAGGUGAAUAUUGCCUUCCCCAUGUUUUUCCUAUUCUCUCCUUUUAGAAUUUCUUUUAAACAUUUCUUAUAUCUUAUAUAAGAUAUCUUAUAUCUUAUAUAAGAUCCUUAGUAUCUCCUAAUCUCUCUUUUGUAUUUUAUACAGUUUGCCUGUAUGUAUUGCAUUAUAAAUAAUUUCUUGAGAUUUACUUUCUGGUUCACUAAUUCUCUCUUCAGCUGUGCCUUAUUAUGUGUUUAAAAUUUAUAUUGAGUUUAGUUCUUAUUAUUAAAUACCUAUGUUUUCCAUUUCUCUCUAUGCGUAUCUUCUUAGUUUUUUUCAAUGUUAUCAUGUUCUGUUUUACCUAUUUUAGAACCUUGUAUUUUUUUCUCAAAUAAUUUUGAAUGUAUUUACGUUUUAGUCUGCAUUCAUUAUUUCCUCUACUAAAGGUUUUUGGAAGUCUAAUACGUUCUUUAUGCAAGAUCUUGCCUGUGGUGACUUGUUUCCUUGAGCAGUAUUUAAACUUUAAUGUACACAGUUUACCCUUGACCACUACAAGCUUGAACUCUGUGGGUCAACUUAAUACAGUGAGUUCUUUUUUCAACCAAAUGUGGAUAAAAAAUACAGCAUUCAAAAGAUGAGAAACCCAUACAGAGAGCCAACUUUUAAUAUCCACAGCUUCCACAGGGCUGACUGUGGGACUUGCGUAUUCAUGGACUUGGGUACGUUGAGGUCUAGAAACCAGUGUUUCAGUGUACCAACAGAUGAUUGUAGUUCAAUUAUGCAGCAUCUCAUGAAAGUGAGUAUUUUGAUUCAGUAGGUCUAGGGGAAGUCCUAGAUUCUUAAUUUCUAACAAGCUCUCAAUUGAUGCUAAUGCUGCUGAUCCAUAUGUCAUUCUUCCAGUAGCAAGCUCUAGAGUUUUUGUUUUUCUAUUAUUUACUUACUUAGCUUGAAAGAGAUUCAUGUUGGAGAAUUUAUUUGUGACCUGAAUUUAAAACCCUUCUGAAGAAUGUUUUAACCUCUGUCAGGGGCAUUAACCUGGGACUGUUGUGUGUAUAUCCACGUCCACAUGCUGAUUCUUUUUUUUUUCUUUUUUUUUGGCUUGUGGUUUCUAGGAGCUUUCAAGUAGUAUAAAUUUGGAUGCCAAAUUUGCAUUAGAGUUAGGUAAUUGUUAUCAGCUCUCAGAGGAGAGUUUUCUCUGUCCCUUUUCCUCCAAUCUAGGGCCAAUAUGAGAAAGCAAGAUGCUGUGCCAUAUCCCUUUGCUGGUGGUCAGACUCUUUCUAUUGUACUCUCUCAGUGAAGGUGUAAUCCUUCAAAGAUUUUAUUUGAGGGUGUCAGGCCGAACUCCCCACUUUGUAUGGACCCAAGGACUUCUCUUCCAAUUUAUUCAUUAAACCCAAGUUCUCAGGACAUCCCAACAAGGGAUGUCAGGUGCCAUGUCAUGAGAACACACAAGCAGCCUUAUGAAGAAGUCCAAGUGGCAAGGAAAUAAGUCCUCUUGCCAAUAGCCAGUACCAGCCUCCCAGCAUGUGAGUGAGCUAUCCCAGGCUUCGGCCCCAGCCAAGCCUUCAGAUGACUGCAGAUGCUGCGACAUCUCGACUGCGCCAUCAUGAGAGACCCUAAACCAGAAUCAUCCAUCCAAAUCAGUCAAUUCCUGAUCUGCCAGACCAUGUGAGAUAAUAA